UCAGUCUUCCUUAUCCACUGGGAAUCCUUUCCUCUUCCUGGGUUGGAGGCUUCUCUCAAAGACUAUCCAUCUUUGUGUCCACUUCCUUUGUACAAGCAGGAAAAGACAAGAAUGCUAUGUGCAACAUCCUGUUUAUUCAGUCAAUCAACUGAACAGUGAAACCUGCCUAAGUAAAAGAAAAUAAUUCUGGAGCUCAUCAUAUUUUCCAGCAAUUAGGUUGUUCAUCAUUAGACUCAUCAAGCUCUUCUUCAUCUGUACAACUCCUGAUGGAAUCACGUUAUCAUUUACAUGAGAACACACACAAAUACACAUAAACAGAAA